rnacentral:rRNA from 1 species
UGCUUCUCCAUAAGCUGAGGAAAGAAACGUUUCCAUUUUCCCUCUCCCGAUGGAUAAAGAAACCAACAGGGAUUGCCAUAGUAGCUGCGAGUGAGCGGCAAAAGCUCAAAUUUGAAAUCUGGCGCCUUCGGUGUCCGAGUUGUAAUUUGAAGAUGGUUACCUUGGGGUUGGCUCUUGUCUAUGUUUCUUGGAACAGGACUUCACGGAGGGUGAAAAUCCCGUGCGAUGAGAUGCCCAAUUCUAUGUAAGGUGCUUUCAAACAGUCUAGUUGUUUGGGAAUGCAGCUCUAAGUGGGUGGUAAAUUCCAUCUAAAGCUAAAUAUUGGCGAGAGACCGAUAGCGAACAAGUACAGUGAUGGAAAGAUGAAAAGAACUUUGAAAAGAGAGUGAAAAAGUACGUGAAAUUGUUGAAAGGGAAGGGUUUGAAAUCAGACUCGCUAUUUUGUGAGCCUUUCCUCUCCGGCGGGGUGCCCCCCCUCUUAUCGGGACAGCAUCGGUUUGGGAGGGUAGGAUAAUGGCGUAUGAAUGUGACUCUCCUUCGUUGAACUGUUAUACUCCUGCGUUGAUGCUGCCUGCCUAGACCGACGACUGCUAUUUUAUGAAGGAUGCUGGGGUAUUGAUCCCUGCCGCCCAUUCUUA